CGAGGCUACAAAUAAACCACUCAAACGGACGCCUCUUGUUCUAAUCACCCCAUAAAAUGUGUUUAAGCGACCAGACGGAGACUUUCCAGGCCUUUAUUUAUCUAUUUAUUAUUGUGGCUGACCGGAGCAUCCUUCUCCUAAAGAGCCCGGUGCCAAGCGCCGUGAGUUAUGCAAAGGCGGGAGAGGGACGGGUGGGGAAACGCUGCCGUAACUCACCCCCCAGCCCGGACGGGAGGAUUUCGGGGGGCGGGGGGCACCCCAGACCUCUCCAUAAAGGCUUUGUCCCCCCGCCAUGACCCCACGGGCCUUUUGCAGGGGAGGGAACGGGUUCCGCUGAGGGUGCAGCUUGGUGGGAUGUCACCCUCCGGGAGUUUGGAGGGACAUCGAAGCCUUAAAUGGGGUAAUUUGGGGGGUUUUGAGUGGAAAAGGUGUUUUCUGACACCCGGCUGAGUUAUAUUUGAGCUGUUCCUCCCCAAAAACCUGCUUUGCAGAGGGGGUGCACGGUGGCUCCCCCCAUCCCGCAUCCAGUUCCCGGUUCUGGCAUCUCCCACCCAGGCUCUUGGUUGGGAUGUGGUGGUGGGAUGCUCUGGGGAGGUGGUGGGAUGCUCCGAGGAGGUGGUGGGAUGCUCCAAAGAGAUGGAGGGAUGCUCCAAAGAGAUGGAGGGAUGCUCCAAGGUGGAGGAACGCUCUGACAAGGUGGUGGGAUGCUCUGGUGAGUUGACGGGAUGCUCCAAGGUGAAGGGGCACUCCAAGGUGGAGGGAUCCUCUGUCAAGGUGGUGGGAUGCUCUGAUGAGGUGGAGGGAUGCUCCGAUGAGGUUGAGGGAUGUUCCAACAAGGUUGAGGGAUGCUCUAUUGGUGGAGGGAUGGUCUGUCAAGGUGGUGGGAUGCUCCGAGGAGGUGGUGGGAUGCUCUGAUGAGGUGGAGGGAUGUUCCAACGAGGUUGAGGGAUGCUCCAAGGUGGGGGGAUGCUCUGAUCCCUCAUCAGAAGGAUGCUCAAGACGAGGUGGAGGGAUGAUCCAACAACGUGCUGAGAUGCUCCCAAGUUGGAGGGGACUCUCCAAUCUCUCCUCCAGCAGCCAAACCCCUGCCCUCCCCACAA
rnacentral:lncRNA from 1 species